GAAAUUGAUGGUAUAGAUCAUGAAGUGAAACCAAGCUCAGUGGAGACAUUAAGUCUGAAUGAACGACUACAAAUACUGAAGCCUGUCCUGGAAAAUGAGAAACUAUCUGAGCUCAGCGGUCAGAACACAAAAGAAAAUGAUGAGCCUAAAAUGCAUUUUGGACAGGAGCAGCUCAAAUUUCAACACAUACUAGAGAUGACAGCUGACAAUCACCAGGCAGUUUUAAAGUCUGAAGAUAAUGCCCAAACUCAACUGGAUGAGAAAGUUCACAGACAACUACAAGAGUCUGAAGUUACAUCAGAGCCAGUAGUAGAGAGCAAAUUGAUGAGUAACUUUUUGCAAGAGCAUGAGAUAAGUGCAUGUCUGAAGGGUUUAAAGAUACAGUCCAAGGAAGAUUCUGUGGAAUUAGCUGAGAAAGUUGAAAAAGCGCCAAUGCAAGACUUACAACUUGAUGAAAGUCUGGAUGUAUUAUGUGAGGAAAAGUCUGUACUGUUAGCUGAGAAAGAUUCAGAACCACAACUACAGGACUUAGAGUCUCAAGUAAGUCAAGAUGUAAAGUGUGAGGGACAAUCUUCAAAAUUAGCUGAGAAAACUGCAAAACCACCACUGCAGGACUUACAACCUGAGGUAAGUCUAGAUUCAAUAUGUAAGGGACAAUCUAUUCAGUUAGCUGAGACUACUACUCAGAGACUUCAACCGCCACUACAGGACUCACAGUCUGGGGAAAGUCCAGAUUUAAUGUUCAGAGCUUCAGAAGUAAAUGCUAUCCCACAGUCGGCAACAGACAGUGAAUUUAGGAGCUCAGUACUGCAAGAUAAAACUGAUGUAACUCCUGUAAUUCCAGAGAAGACCACGGUAACAAAGUCCAUAGAGUUGCCUAAGAGUGAGGAACUGCAAAACCCAUUGACUGAUUUAGAUUCUGCAUCAGAUCAUCCACUCAACCAGAAAUCCAAAGAGCAUGUGAAUGAGCAUUUAAAACUGCAGAACGAUGAGGUCAGUCCAGCAGUGCUAAAGAGAAAAUCUGAGGAGCACAAUCCUCAAGAGAAACCUGAACAGUUUGAAACCAUUGAGCUGCUGAUAUUAGAGGAUUCUGACUUCCAAGAGACAGAGUUGAACAAUUCUGAUCCCGUAAGACCAAGAGCUGCUCUGAGCAAAGAAACAAAGUUGAGCAAAACUAAGCCUAUAGAACCAAAGACUAUAAAUUAUAGAAAAUCUAAAGAGAAUAAGCUGGGUCAUGAUGUUUACAGUAGGCAUAGAAAGGAAACAUGUCACCUGACAGCUCUGACUGAUGAGAAACAAGAAGGGGAACAUAUUUGUACAAAUCAGAAGAAAAAGAACCUGCCAGAGGCAAAACCCAAGCUGGAGUGUCUGGUUAGGAAGCAACCACAUCAAGCAAUGUCCAGAAUUCCUAUUCAAGCUAGAGGAGGGUUAACUAAGUUACCCAUCAGCAAAGCAGACACUAGCAAUCCCUCAUUUGGGCUUCGAGCUCCUAGAGCUGGCAUGCAAAGACACCCACUUGGAAAACCACUGGGGCAGAAUAAGCCUAGCGCUACAUCACCUCCAUCUCCUGAAAAAUUGUUCCCAGGAAGAGUUGCUCCAGUUAGGUCAACACAAAUUCUCCAGAGACCCCCUUGCACAGUGCCUACACCAAAUGGUCCCGCCUCUGCCUUAAAACUGCCACAGGUCCAGCUGACUGCACCUAAGAUCGGGCAGUCAGACCAGCCAAACGUUUCCAGGAAACGUUCUACGUCCCUAACAAAGUACAGUUGUUGUUCUUCUGGGAUUUCCUGUCCAGCACAAGUAAAGAAGCAGGUGAUUAAAGGGUCUCUGCCAAGCAAAUAGUACAAUGCAACAAACUGUUGUAUACUGAAUGCCACUGGGUUAUUUUAGUAUUUAAUAUUUUUAUUGGACUCUUAUUGAACUAUGUGAGUUGAUCUCACAUAAAACUAUGCUUUAUUUCUUCCAAUUAGCCAGCAGAAAGUUAACAUAGGAUUCCCAAUACAAAUAGGUUUUUCUAAAUUUAAUGUUUAUGUAAAUUGCAG
ensembl:lncRNA